GACGAACGCUGGCGGCGUGCUUAACACAUGCAAGUCGAACGGUAAGGCCCCUUCGGGGGUCCACGAGUGGCGAACGGGUGAGUAACACGUGAGCAACCUGCCCUUGACUCUGGAAUAACAGUUGGAAACAGCUGCUAAUACUGGAUAUUCAUCGUCUCCUUCCUGGGGGGUGGUGGAAAGCUCCGGCGGUCAGGGAUGGGCUCGCGGCCUAUCAGCUUGUUGGUGAGGUAAUGGCUCACCAAGGCUUCGACGGGUAGCCGGCCUGAGAGGGCGACCGGCCACACGGGGACUGAGAUACGGCCCAGACUCCUACGGGAGGCAGCAGUGGGGAAUAUUGCACAAUGGGCGCAAGCCUGAUGCAGCAACGCCGCGUGCGGGAGGACGGCCUUCGGGUUGUAAACCGCUUUCAGUAGGGACGAAGGGUGACUGACGGUACCUACAGAAGAAGGACCGGCUAACUACGU
rnacentral:rRNA from 1 species